rnacentral:rRNA from 1 species
UGGCCAGACUCCUACGGGAGGCAGCAGUGAGGAAUAUUGGUCAAUGGGCGGGAGCCUGAACCAGCCAAGUCGCGUGAGGGAAGACGGUCCUACGGAUUGUAAACCUCUUUUGCCGGGGAGCAACGGGGUCCUUGCGAGGGCCCAAUGAGAGUACCCGGAGAAAAGGCAUCGGCUAACUCCGUGCCAGCAGCCGCGGUAAUACGGAGGAUGCGAGCGUUAUCCGGAUUUAUUGGGUUUAAAGGGUGCGUAGGCGGGCUGUUAAGUCAGCGGUCAAAUGUCGGGGCUCAACCCCGUACUGCCGUUGAAACUGCAUCCCUUGAGUGCGCGAGAAGUAUGCGGAAUGCGUGGUGUAGCGGUGAAAUGCAUAGAUAUCACGCAGAACUCCGAUUGCGGAGGCAGCAUACCGGCGCGCAACUGACGCUCAUGCACGAAAGCGUGGGUAUCGAACAGGAUUAGAUACCCGGGUAGUC